rnacentral:lncRNA from 1 species
GGGGGGAGAAAAAAGAUUUAGUCUUCGUUGCCUACUUUUGGUUUGACUCCUUUGUCCUCUAAACUCCCUUCAGGAAAUGUAGAACACGAAAAAAACAUUUUACUAUAAGAUUUGAGAUCUCCUAUAAAAUGAGUAUAAUAUAGUAAAAUUAUUACUUCUAGUUAUCUUAGUGUACUCCCCAUUUAUUCUGUUCUCUUGAUAAAAAUUCUGCAAGACUGGUUCUUUUAUAGGG